CGAACGCUGGCGGCAGGCUUAACACAUGCAAGUCGAACGCUCGUAGCAAUACGAGAGUGGCAGACGGGAGAGUAACACGUGGGAACGUGCCCUUUAGUUCGGAACAACCCAGGGAAACUUGGGCUAAUACCGGAUACGUCCGAAAGGAGAAAGAUUUAUCGCUGAAGGAUCGGCCCGCGUCUGAUUAGCUAGUUGGUGGGGUAAUGGCUCACCAAGGCGACGAUCAGUAGCUGGUCUGAGAGGAUGAUCAGCCUCAUUGGGACUGAGACACGGCCCAAACUCCUACGGGGGGCAGCAGUGGGGAAUCUUGGACAAUGGGCGCAAGCCUGAUCCAGCCAUGCCGCGUGGGUGAUGAAGGCCCUAGGGUUGUAAAGCCCUUUCGGCGGGGAAGAUAAUGACGGUACCCGCAGAAGAAGCCCCGGCUAACUUCGUGCCAGCAGCCGCGGUAAUACGAAGGGGGCUAGCGUUGCUCGGAAUCACUGGGCGUAAAGCGCACGUAGGCGGCUUUUUAAGUCAGGGGUGAAAUCCUGGAGCUCAACUCCAGAACUGCCUUUGAUACUGAGAAGCUUGAGUUCGGGAGAGGUGAGUGGAACUGCGAGUGUAGAGGUGAAAUUCGUAGAUAUUCGCAAGAACACCAGUGGCGAAGGCGGCUCACUGGCCCGAUACUGACGCUGAGGUGCGAAAGCGUGGGGAGCAA
rnacentral:rRNA from 1 species